rnacentral:misc_RNA from 1 species
AAUCAAAUUAUUACGUAAUCAACCGCGGCGGUUCUUGGACUGUGUUUUUGCCUUCCUGUCGUCUGUCGUCGGCGUUUUGUCUUUUUGAUUUGAUUUGAUGUUUUCUUCUAGAAUAAAAUCAACAUUAACGUUUAUCAGCCGCCCGGUAACAUUAUCUUGUAAAAACAAUUUAGUGAUUGCAUCAUUUGUUCCUCCUAGUCAAAGAUUAUUAUCAACUUGUAGAAUGUCGAAGACUGCACUGGUGAUCCUAGCUCAGGGGGCAGAGGAGAUGGAGACGGUCAUCACCGUUGACAUGCUCCGUAGAGGCGGUGUGACAGUAACAUUGGCCGGUCUGGACGGAAACUCUCCAGUUCUGUGCUCGCGUCAGCUAACCCUGGUGCCUGAUAAGUCACUGUCGGAUGCCCUGGCCGAGACUCCUCAGUAUGAUGCUGUAAUUUUACCAGGCGGUCUUGAAGGUUCAGAUCGUCUGUCUAAGUCCAAUGUGGUUGGUACGCUGCUGAAGGAACAUGAGAAAUCUGGCAGAAUUAUUGCCGCUAUAUGUGCAGCACCGACAGCCUUUGUCGCCCACGGCGUCGCUCAGGGCAAACGGGUGACAUCUUACCCGACUACGAAAGACAAGAUCACGGGUGACUACAUAUACGUGGAGGGGGAAAGGGUCGUGGUAGAUGGCAACGUGGUUACGAGCAGAGGCCCCGGCACAGCCUACUGGUUUGGUUUGAAGCUUAUCGAACUACUGACCGGGAACGACAAGGCUGACCAGGUGGAGAAGGGCAUGAUCAUAUCCGGUUACUAAGCCAUGUGGACUGCUGGUGAACUGUCCUUAAUCACAGGUCAUAGCCGGAUGGAAUGGUAGACGGAGUUGAGUCUUUUGGAAAGGCAAUGACAGUGUUGAUGAUGGAAUUGAUAUUAAAAUUGUGAUAGGUUGCUGGACCAUCGCCUAAAAGAUGAAUCCCAAGUUGUUUGAACUGUAUUAGAUUUUUUAUUUUACCUUAAAUCAUAUUUUUAAGGACAAAUUAUUAAGUUCUCCAGCAGUUAUAGACCUUAUAAAGUUUUUAUUGUAGGCAUACCUAUGUAUAUAAAGUCAUUAUUUUAGUCAUCAAACCAGAUACAGUAGAAUGACACACACAAUGCUGUGUUUACUUCACGGCAAAGUAUCGCUGUUUCGCUUUUUAUUUUGACUUGAAACGGGACAGCGAUAGUUUUAUUCGCGAUAAAACUUUUUAAGAAUGAUUUUAUUCUUAUUUUGAUAUAUGUACAUUGUCACAGAUGAAUAAGUGCAAUUUUUUUAAAGUACGUUAAUUGGUUACUAGUGACAUUUUCUCAUGGUUAAUGUAUUUUAUAUGUAAGCAAAGAAAGGAUUUAAAUUUAAGCAAAAAAAAAGUGUAACUUUUGAACUGGUAAU